UACAGAGGGGGCAAGCGUUGUUCGGAAUUACUGGGCGUAAAGCGUGUGUAGGCGGUCCGCUAAGUCGGGUGUGAAAGCCCUGGGCUCAACCCAGGAACUGCGUCCGAUACUGGAAGGCUUGAAUCCGGGAGAGGGAUGCGGAAUUCCAGGUGUAGCGGUGAAAUGCGUAGAUAUCUGGAGGAACACCGGUGGCGAAGGCGGCAUCCUGGACCGGUAUUGACGCUGAGGCGCGAAAGCCAGGGGAGCAAACGGG
rnacentral:rRNA from 1 species